rnacentral:rRNA from 1 species
CCUACGGAUGGCAGCAGUGAGGAAUAUUGGUCAAUGGUCGCGAGCCUGAACCAGCCAAGUCGCGUGAGGGAGGACGGUACAGAGGAUCGUAAACCUCUUUUGUCAGGGAACAAAGGCGGCGACGUGUCGCGUGAUGAGAGUACCUGAAGAAAAAGCAUCGGCUAACUCCGUGCCAGCAGCCGCGGUAAUACGGAGGAUGCGAGCGUUAUCCGGAUUUAUUGGGUUUAACGGGUGCGCAGGCGGAAGAUCAAGUCAGCGGUAAAAUCCCGGGGCUCAACCCCUUCGAGCCGUUGAAACUGGGAGUCUUGAGUUGGUGAGAAGUAUGCGGAAUGCGCGGUGUAGCGGUGAAAUGCAUAGAUAUCGCGCAGAACUCCGAUGGCGAAGGCAGCAUGCCGGCUCCACACUGACGCUGAGGCACGAAAGUGUGGGUAUCGAACAGGAUUAGAUACCCGGGUAGUC